CUGGCGACGAGCUUGAUCAUGAGGAAGAGGGGUAGCAGGAGCAGCAGGCCAAGCAGCGGCAGCGUCGUCGCCGUCGCCUCCAUCAUUGUCCGGCGAGUGCGAUGCAAAGAUUAGUGGCGGUGUUUGCCACCACUCAUCACCAGUGGUGAGCACUUGCAGCAAAUUGUGGUUGCAACCAACUCGACUUUUCAUUUAAUUUGAAGGUGAUGGUGAUUUGCUAAUAAAGUGGCUCUGUCUAUUUCCUCUCAACAUGGAUGUCCUAUUUUCUGGAUUUAUUUUAAAAAUAAUUGUUGUUGUUAUGUCAUGUAUAAGUGAUCGAUGUAUUCAUCGAUGACGAGACGUGCGUGUUACAUUCAUCAAUCCCAAAUAGUAGGACAUUUAUUA